GAAUAUUGGACAAUGGGGGGAACCCUGAUCCAGCCAUGCCGCGUGUGUGAAGAAGGCCUUUUGGUUGUAAAGCACUUUAAGCGAGGAGGAGGCUACUAGGUUAAUACUCCAGGAUAGUUGGCGGUACCCCGAGCAUAAGCACCGGCUAACCCUGUUCCACCAGCCGCGGGAAUACAGAGGGUGCAAGCGUUAAUCGGAUUUACUGGGCGUAAAGCGCGCGUAUGUGGCCAAUUAAGUCAAAUGUGAAAUCCCCGAGCUUAACUUGGGAAGUGCAUUCGAUACUAGUUGGCUAGAGUAUGGGAGAGGAUGGUAGAAUUCCAGGUGUAGCGGUGAAAUGCGUAGAGAUCUGGAGGAAUACCGAUGGCGAAGGCAGCCAUCUGGCCUAAUACUGACACUGAGGUGCGAAAGCAUGGGGAGCAAACA
rnacentral:rRNA from 1 species